UGAGAGGUCACCCUCUUGAAAGACAGCCUGACAUCGGCCUCCAACAUCGGUCGCUGGGUGCAGUGGUGAUCCACACAGCAGUGGUUUUAUUCCUCCUUUCAAGGUCUUUUUCUUUGUUGCUCAUUUCCGGAAUGGGAACUUUAGGCGUAAUAAUAUUGUUGACCCCACGUCGCUGAGCUGUGGAGGAAGCGAACAAUCUACCAUCGUGGAGGCACAAGCAUGCUCAAGCUGGUAAAACCUGAGGGACAAGAAUAGCCAAGCGCACUCAUUUCUCAAUUGCUAGGAACUUUCGGACUAUUCAACUGGUGUUUAGUAUUGUGGCUUUCUGAAGAUUUACAUAAAUAUUGCUGUCCAG